AGUGAACGCUGGCGGUAGGCCUAACACAUGCAAGUCGAACGGCAGCACAGUAAGAGCUUGCUCUUACGGGUGGCGAGUGGCGGACGGGUGAGGAAUACAUCGGAAUCUACUUUUUCGUGGGGGAUAACGUAGGGAAACCUACGCUAAUACCGCAUACGACCUACGGGUGAAAGCAGGGGAUCUUCGGACCUUGAGCGAUUGAAUGAGCCGAUGUCGGAUUAGCUAGUUGGCGGGGUAAAGGCCCACCAAGGCGACGAUCCGUAGCUGGUCUGAGAGGAUGAUCAGCCACACUGGAACUGAGACACGGUCCAGACUCCUACGGGAGGCAGCAGUGGGGAAUAUUGGACAAUGGGCGCAAGCCUGAUCCAGCCAUACCGCGUGGGUGAAGAAGGCCUUCGGGUUGUAAAGCCCUUUUGUUGGGAAAGAAAAGCAGCAGGUUAAUACCCCGCUGUUCUGACGGUACCCAAAGAAUAAGCACCGGCUAACUUCGUG
rnacentral:rRNA from 1 species